rnacentral:rRNA from 1 species
UGGGGAAUAUUGCGCAAUGGGCGAAAGCCUGACGCAGCAACGCCGCGUGAGUGAUGAGGGCCUUCGGGUCGUAAAGCUCUGUCGGAGGGAACGAAUGCUCUUGAGGUUAACAGCCUCGGGAGGUGACGGUACCCUCAAAGGAAGCACCGGCUAACUCUGUGCCAGCAGCCGCGGUAAGACAGAGGCCACGAACGUUGUUCGGAAUCACUGGGCAUAAAGCGCACGUAGGCGGCUAGGUCCGUCCGAUGUGAAAGCCCCCGGCUCAACCGGGGAAUUGCAUCGGAUACAGCCUGGCUUGAGGACGGUUGGGGUGAGUGGAACUCCUGGUGGAGCGGUGAAAUGCGUAGAUAUCAGGAGGAACACCGGUGGCGAAAGCGGGCUCACUGGACCGUUACUGACGCUGAGGUGCGAAAGCUAGGGGAGCAAACGGGAUUAGAUACCCUGGUAGUCCCUGAGCGGGCUGGCAAGGCGCAU